AUUACAACCUUUCGGAAAUAUCCAAUAAAAUUGAAACGAUACACAAAAGAUUAGCAUGACCUUUACUCAAAGAUGACGACAUAUACAAAUUGAGAAAUGAUU
rfam:Solanum lycopersicum cultivar Heinz 1706 chromosome 9, whole genome shotgun sequence.